UACAGAUUGAACGCUGGCGGCAUGCCUUACACAUGCAAGUCGAACGGCAGCACGGGAGCAAGUCCUGGUGGCGAGUGGCGAACGGGUGAGUAAUAUAUCGGAACGUGCCCAGUCGUGGGGGAUAACGUAGCGAAAGCUACGCUAAUACCGCAUACGAUCUAUGGAUGAAAGCGGGGGAUCGCAAGACCUCGCGCGAUUGGAGCGGCCGAUAUCAGAUUAGCUAGUAGGUGAGGUAAUGGCUUACCAAGGCGACGAUCAGUAUCNGGUUUGAGAGGAUGAUCAGACACACUGGAACUGAGACACGGUCCAGACUCCUACGGGAGGCAGCAGUGGGGAAUAUUGGACAAUGGGCGAAAGCCUGAUCCAGCAAUGCCGCGUGAGUGAUGAAGGCCUUCGGGUUGUAAAGCUCUUUUACUCGGGACGAUAAUGACGGUACCGAGAGAAUAAGCCCCGGCUAACUCCGUG
rnacentral:rRNA from 1 species